AACGAACGCUGGCGGCAUGCCUAACACAUGCAAGUCGAACGAGACCUUCGGGUCUAGUGGCGCACGGGUGCGUAACGCGUGGGAACCUGCCCUUAGGUUCGGAAUAACUCCCCGAAAGGGGUGCUAAUACCGGAUAAUGUCUUCGGACCAAAGAUUUAUCGCCUUUGGAUGGGCCCGCGUUGGAUUAGCUAGUUGGUAGGGUAAAAGCCUACCAAGGCGACGAUCCAUAGCUGGUCUGAGAGGAUGAUCAGCCACACUGAGACUGAGACACGGCCCAGACUCCUACGGGAGGCAGCAGUGGGGAAUAUUGGACAAUGGGCGAAAGCCUGAUCCAGCAAUGCCGCGUGAGUGAUGAAGGCCUUAGGGUUGUAAAGCUCUUUUACCCGGGAUGAUAAUGACAGUACCGGGAGAAUAAGCUCCGGCUAACUCCGU
rnacentral:rRNA from 1 species